rnacentral:rRNA from 1 species
UACGGGGGGGGGCAAGCGUUGUUCGGAAUUACUGGGCGUAAAGGGCUCGUAGGCGGCCAACUAAGUCAGACGUGAAAUCCCUCGGCUUAACCGGGGAACUGCGUCUGAUACUGGUUGGCUUGAGUGUGGGAGAGGGAUGCGGAAUUCCAGGUGUAGCGGUGAAAUGCGUAGAUAUCAGGAGGAACACCAAUGGCGAAGGCAGCUCGCUGGAACGGUACUGACGCUGAGGCGCGAAAGCGUGGGGAGCGAACAGG